rnacentral:rRNA from 1 species
GACGAACGCUGGCGGCGUGCCUAAUACAUGCAAGUCGAGCGAAGUUUUUCUGGUGCUUGCACCGGAAAAACUUAGCGGUGAACGGGUGAGUAACACGUAAAGAACCUGCCUCAUAGACUGGGACAACUAUUGGAAACGAUAGCUAAUACCGGAUAACAGCAUUAACUACAUGGUUGAUGUUUAAAAGUUGGUUUUGCUAACACUAUGAGAUGGCUUUGCGGUGCAUUAGCUAGUUGGUGGGGUAAAGGCCUACCAAGGCGACGAUGCAUAGCCGACCUGAGAGGGUGAUCGGCCACACUGGGACUGAGACACGGCCCAGACUCCUACGGGAGGCAGCAGUAGGGAAUCUUCCGCAAUGGGCGAAAGCCUGACGGAGCAACGCCGCGUGAGUGAAGAAGG